rnacentral:rRNA from 1 species
UACGUAGGGUGCAGGCGUUAAUCGGAAUUACUGGGCGUAAAGCGUGCGCAGGCGGUUUCUUGAGUCAGAUGUGAAAGCCCCGGGCUUAACCUGGGAACUGCGUUUGAAACUGGGAGACUUGAGUGUGGCAGAGGGGGGUGGAAUUCCACGUGUAGCAGUGAAAUGCGUAGAUAUGUGGAGGAACACCGAUAGCGAAGGCAGCCCCCUGGGUUAACACUGACGCUCAUGCACGAAAGCGUGGGGAGCAAACAGG